AUGAAAAAAGCAAUUAAGGAUAAGAAAAUGUUAACAAAUUGUUCCAAUUAUAUUCAGAGACAAGAACACAAAAACAGAAAUAACAUCCAAUCACUUUCCAGACAGAGAAAGAAACAAAAGGCCUGUAUCUGGGUCACGAGUAGCUCGCUGCAAAAGCUGCAUGUAGGUGAGGUUCUCGUGCGUGUUGGGGUCGAAGAAGCCCUUGGUGUCGUCGCUGGGGUCCUCCAGCACGCGGCUCAUCUCCUCGUCGAAGUAGCCGCGCUGGUAGGCCACGUCCACGGGCACGCGGUGGCUGCGCACGGGGUCGAUGACGCCGCCCGUGGCGAUCUGGGCCUCCAGCAGGCGGAUGCCGUGCUCGCGGACGAUGAGGUCCUUCUUCAUGGCCUGGAAGAGGGAGAUCUGCUCCCCGGUGUAGGGGUCCGUGUAGCCGGUGACGGCGCGCUCGGCCGACAGCAGCUUCUCCCGCAGCUCGCCGCCCACCACGCCCGCGGCCACCGCCUCCUCCACGGACAGCUUCUGGUUGCGCACGGGGUCGAUGACGCCGCCCGUGGCGAUCUGGGCCUCCAGCAGGCGGAUGCCGUGCUCGCGGACGAUGAGGUCCUUCUUCAUGGCCUGGAAGAGGGAGAUCUGCUCCCCGGUGUAGGGGUCCGUGUAGCCGGUGACGGCGCGCUCGGCCGACAGCAGCUUCUCCCGCAGCUCGCCGCCCACCACGCCCGCGGCCACCGCCUCCUCCACGGACAGCUUCUGGUUGCGCACGGGGUCGAUGACGAAGCCGGUGGCCGCCUGCGCCUCCAGCAGCACCAGGGCCGUGCCGGGCCGCAGGACGCCCUUCCACAUGGCCUGGUAGAUGCUCAUCUUCUCCUGGCGCCCGGGCUCGUCCUUGGCCGGCACCAGCACGCCCGCGAUGCAGCUGGUGCCCUCCAGGUAGCGCUUCACCGCGUCCAUCUCCGUCACCUCCUGCAGGGUCCUGGUGCCCUGGGCCAGGUCACGCAGGGUCUCGGGGCCCAGGAUCCCGGACGUGUGCAGCUCGGACGCGGACACCUGGCGCCUCAGGCCCCGGAAGGACACCUUGCUCAGCCGCUCCUCC
rnacentral:lncRNA from 1 species